rnacentral:rRNA from 1 species
UAAAGAGUGCGUAACAGCUCACUGGUCGAGCGACAGGGCAUCGAUGAUGAUCGGGCAUUAAGUAUACCACCGAAGCUAAGGCAGUAUUUAUACUGGGUAGGGGAGCAUUCUAUUCUGCGAAGAAGGCGUCUGGUGAUGGACGUUGGAGCGUAUAGAAAAGCAAAUGUAGGCAUAAGUAACGAUAAGGCGGGUGAGAAACCCGCCCACCGAUAGACUAAGGUUUCCU